GUAGCGCAACGGAUAGCACGUUGGACUUCUAAUUCAAAGGUCGUGGGUUCGAGUGCCACCCA
rnacentral:tRNA from 1 species